rnacentral:rRNA from 1 species
GUGCGCGCGGGCAGCUUCGGCUGUCAGCGGCGGACGGGUGAGUAACGCGUGGGAAUCUGUCUCCGGGUGGGGGAUAACCAUGGGAAACUAUGGCUAAUACCGCAUGACGCCCGAGGGCCAAAGCAGCAAUGCGCCUGGAGAGGAGCCCGCGUACGAUUAGCUAGUUGGCGGGGUAAAGGCCCACCAAGGCUCCGAUCGUUAGCUGGUCUGAGAGGAUGAUCAGCCACACUGGGACUGAGACACGGCCCAGACUCCUACGGGAGGCAGCAGUGGGGAAUAUUGGACAAUGGGCGCAAGCCUGAUCCAGCAAUGCCGCGUGAGUGAAGAAGGUCUUCGGAUUGUAAAGCUCUUUCGGCGGGGACGAUGAUGACGGUACCCGCAGAAGAAGCCCCGGCUAACUUCGUGCCAGCAGCCGCGGUAAUACGAAGGGGGCUAGCGUUGCUCGGAAUGACUGGGCGUAAAGGGCGCGUAGGCGGUGUAUACAGUCGGACGUGAAAUUCCCGGGCUCAACCUGGGGGCUGCGUUCGAGACGUAUGCGCUGGAGUCCGGAAGAGGGUGGCGGAAUUCCCAGUGUAGAGGUGAAAUUCGUAGAUAUUGGGAAGAACACCGGUGGCGAAGGCGGCCACCUGG